AUUGAACGCUGGCGGCAUGCCUUACACAUGCAAGUCGAACGGCGGCACGGGGCAACCUGGUGGCGAGUGGCGAACGGGUGAGUAAUGCAUCGGAACGUACCUUUCAGUGGGGGAUAACGUAGCGAAAGUUACGCUAAUACCGCAUAUUCUGUGAGCAGGAAAGCAGGGGAUCGCAAGACCUUGCGCUGAUUGAGCGGCCGAUGUCAGAUUAGCUAGUUGGUGAGGUAAAGGCUCACCAAGGCGACGAUCUGUAGCGGGUCUGAGAGGAUGAUCCGCCACACUGGAACUUAGACACGGUCCAGACUCCUACGGGAGGCAGCAGUGGGGAAUUUUGGACAAUGGGGGCAACCCUGAUCCAGCCAUGCCGCGUGAGUGAAGAAGGCCUUCGGGUUGUAAAGCUCUUUCGGCCGGGAAGAAAUCGCACGGGCUAAUACCCUGUGUGGAUGACGGUACCGGAAUAAGAAGCACCGGCUAACUACGUGCCAGCCGCCGCGGUAAGAC
rnacentral:rRNA from 1 species